rnacentral:sRNA from 3 species
AUAUCUCUCUGUACGGGAAGGAUGAGAAGCUUCGACCAAGGUUCGAUUCGAGCGCAGCGAGAAAGCGUUGCCGCAGGCAACG